CUCUGAGGGAAAUGACCUUUGCUUGGUCAUUAUCCUGACUUAUAUGUUGAUAAUGUUGCCUGUCCCAAUCCUUAAAACUUUAAUUUUUCUAUAACAAAUUCAUCUAGGGUUACUGACUAGCUUUUAAGAGGGAGUGCUUUCCUGCUCCCUAUUCAUUUUGUUGUUAUUUCUGCUUAGAACCCUUCCUUCAUCAUCUCCACUACCUGAAUUAGAAACGCAAGGGGUUCUCUGUAUUGACUAUUUCUUUUCCCCUCCUCAUUCAACAAGCAUUCAAUGGUCUAUAUCAAGUAUUUGCUAUCAGGAAAAUCUUUCUAUGCAAGCAUUGCUGGACAAUGAAGUUGUUUCCAGUGUUUCACUUAAUUAACGGUGCACCAAUGUACAGCUUGGGACACAAGAGCAGACUGAGUUCGGAUGAAAGAUUUAAUUCUGGGCUACCCUUUAUUGCCAGACUCUGAUUGCCCAAUGGUGGAGAGAACCCUGCUGCCUCCACACACCUGAAAUACUUGCCGCUCAGGGGCUCCAGGCCCUCAGCCAGGGCACAGUGCAAACUGGUCUGUGCCCCUUCUCGUGCUGACUUGACAAAAGGGGAGAAGAGCCGCCAGAGCAGACACAGCAGGAAGGAAUGCCGGACCAGCUCAGAGCUGACGACGCCUGGGUGCACUGCAUAGGUGGUGACCCCUGUGCCUGCAAAAAGGGCACAGUUAGACCAGGAACACACUCAAGUGUAGGGAAAUAGCUCAUGUCCUGCAGCGAAAUGCACACUUGCAAAGAAGAGACUCAGGAAACAUAACUCCAAAAUUCAAAAAGUGCCAGAGAGAAUCCAACUAAUAAUUAAUUGGUCUUCCAAAAAGAUGUCACCUUCCCAGAUCUGUCACCUGGUUGAAGGUCCUUCUAAUUUCAAUGUCACCUUUAUUCUGUGACUUCUGUCAUAGAACUAGCAACAUGCAGUAGCACCAAUAAAAGUAUCAA